AAACCAAGAACCGGGUUUAAACAAAGGCCACGCGCAAUGUUCUUCAAGCCACCGAUUCAAAACGCGAAAUGGAUCCGACGCGGGGAGCUUCAUGCUAGCGUUGUUCCUCUUCUUUCCGUGUUGCUUCUUCUGUUUUUGUUGGGAUUCAGGGUUGGUUUUUUCUUCGUGAGGUGUUGAGGUUCUGCUGUGUGUUGCAGGGUGAAGGUGUGUGAAGCUGUUAGAGGGUGAGGUUUGAAGGUUUUUUGAAUGAUGAUGAAGUGGGUGAAGAAGGCUGGUUGGAGAUCUCGGUGAGGGUGAAGAGUUGUGAGGGAGACGAUGAGGGAAGAGGUCGAAGAAUUGAUGGAGGCUCUCAUUGAAGAGGUGAAUUGCGGUUGGAGAGUUGUGGUUUUAUGGAGAAGGUCAUUUGGAUUGUGAUGAAGGGUGGUUUUUAAGAUGGAGUGAUAGAAGAUGGUUGAAGAAUUGAGUGAAGUGAGCCCCCUUUGAGAAUUAGUUCAGUUGUUGUUAUAUCAUUUCCAAUUUUGUUGGAGUUUCGGUUAUGCCGGUUAGAAAUUCUAUUAUGAAGUGGUUUUGAGAUGAAGGUUUUUUGGUCAAUGAAGAGGUUCGAGAUACUGUUAUCACAGUGAAGGUUGAAAUUGAUUUCAUGAUCUCUGGCUAAUGAUUUACUUGAUGGAAUGCUUGAACUGUUCUGGAGUUUAUUUGAUUGGCUAUGGAAUUGGCUAUGGAUCGGAGCUUGGCAAUGUAAAAUUGGAAUAGAUUACUAGGCUUGGAAUGUAAUUUCAUGCUUAUUGUACAUCCAUUGGAAAAUUGCUCACUGAGCUUGCUGGUCCGAAAACAUGCAGAUGGAUUGAGUUUUGUAAUUUUGAUUGAAAUGGUAUUCUGUUGUAAUUGAAACUAAAAUGUUGCAUUUGGAAUUGUGGGUUAUGAUGAAAAACGGUUAUUGUAAUUAAAUGCAUUUGUAUAUGGUUGAAAUGUGAUCUUGGUGGUUAAAUGCAUGGAAAUUUUGAAUGGAA